rnacentral:tmRNA from 1 species
GGGGGUGACUUGGCUUCGACGUGGAUCGCGAAACCCAAGGUGCAUGCCGAGGUGCAGUUAACCUCGUAAAACCAACUGCAACUAAGUUAGUUGCCAACGACGACAACUACGCUCUAGCCGCUUAAUCGGCUGGUCUCUGAACAGGGCCUGCUUAUGGACGCUGACUCGGGGAUAACACAAGCAUAAGCUCGCGAAGAGGCAUGUCCGGGGCCAAAUCGCUAAAACUCACGGAAUCGCUGAGGGCACUCCUUCCUGUCGGGUUGUCACCAGUUAAAAACAAUGACAUGGAUAAGCAUGUAGAUCCGAAGGCGGAGGAUUUGCGGACGCGGGUUCAAUUCCCGCCACCUCCACCA